AAGGCCAAGACAAUAGUAAUGGUCAUGCGGAGUGUGCGAGCUCGCGCCCUUUCAAUGUGCGUCAUGUUGGAACGGCGUAGGUGAAGCCGACCUCUAUACUGCUGCCCUCUCGUGAGAUGAUCUACAAGAACAAUAACUAACGGCUUAGGAUCACCUUCAUUGUCACGUGAUCUUCUGGAGAUAACCCACAGGAUGCGAGAGUAACAAAAGAUUAUGAUGGCCAGUGGCACAAGGUACAAAGCCAGAAUACAGAAGAUGUUAUAAGCUCUGUCUUGCCCAACCUCGGAAAAAAAACCAAAGCUCACACAUUGUUCAAAAUCGGGAUACUCUGGAUGCUGCUGAACUCGAAACACGACACUCUGUUAAAGAUUACAAAAAAGGCAGCUAGACAACACCAACCACCGCCAACUCUUGGGCUCCUGUUCUCAUACCGAAUAGUGAGAUUUGACCGUCACUCUUGUAACGUACCCACCAAGUUCUUACACGUCAAAUAAAUGAAACUGAAACCAACCCGAAGAUCGCCGAAAGGUGUAUAUCAGAAAAGUGGAACAGACAGUCUCGGCUGCGUAUAUUUUUAUAUUCUUGUAAGCAACAAUAAUAAACUAACACUGCAACAAUUUUCUGAAUGUAACAACUAUACGUUUCAAUAUAAACAUGCAUUUAACAUUAUGCAAUACUUA